UUUACGAGAUUCAACAUUUCUACGGAAUUGUGAGCAUCACCUGUACAAUGUAACUGUGCAGUACAGUAUUGUAAACAAUCGUUUUAAAACGCAAUAUCUUUCGGAGACAACUGAAAGCGAGCAUUGGAAGUUCGGAACCAUCACCGCACAUGGUUGCUGAGAGUCAACAGCUGUCUCCUGAGCAUCUAUCUACUAUUUCGUGUGGCGAAGACUGGCUUCAUCGCCGGACAGACAUCUUUGGAGUUUUAUGAAGGAGUCAACAACAUUGUGACUUGACUACAUUAGUUUUCAAACUCCAAUCAGUGGCACUCUUCAGAGAGGACGAGGAGAUGGCGAUAAUUGACAGCAUUGAAAUGACCAAGUCUCCCACUCCCAUGCUGGUGACAAAUAACACCUUCCAAGAUGUCAUGACCACAAGAGAAAUAGCACACC
rnacentral:lncRNA from 1 species